rnacentral:lncRNA from 1 species
AAACUGAGGCAUAGAACAUUUGGGAAUGAAUCUAAGACUACACAUCUAGAAUAGCAGAGGUUAAUCACACUUCUUAAACACAUCUCUUGACCGGGGUGUUCUCACCAUGCCCUUUCUACAAACAAAAAGUCCUACAAGAGUUGGAGCCAUCCUCUCCUCAUCUUCUACUUUCUGCCUUCUUCUGGGACACGCUAUUGAUCACGAAGUAUCUUAUCCUUGAAAAAUCUCCUCUCUUCAACUCGAGUACUACUGCAGAAAGCAGCAACUUGGCGGCCUUUUAUGGAUGGGUGUUACUGAAGAAGGCAAUGUAUCGCAUCCUGUAUUACCUUCCCCUGACCUCAUAGCUUCCCAAAACAGGAACAAUCAUGGGCUUUGAAGGAAAGAAUGAAGAUGUGGAGACCUGGAGACAGGUGGCACCUCGUGCUUCCUCCGAAGGGAGAGCCCAUUUCCUAACAGCUGGAUCAAAGGCAUGAAAUGAACAUGGAGUCCCUGAAGAUGAAGAGAAGGCAUGGCUUCCAGGGAGAAAUUGUACAGUACAGGAAUGCAGAUGUGAUUCCUAUGGAUGAGGGUAACCUAGAGGCUAGAAGAACAAUAGGACAGAAGAAGCCUGGGUCCCUGAACAACCUUGUGGAGCAUAGACACCUACGUGGCCUGGACUGCCAGCUCACAAUGGGCCUCUCUGUGAGAGAAGGAAACUUCCCUCUUGUUUAAGCAACUGUGCUUUUGAGAAUCUCUUGGUCUAUACCCUAAUGAAUAAGGCCAUCAUAAAUGGAUAUCAAAGUAAGGAAAUUUGUGUAAAUGAUUUAAUAAAACAUUACCUCAGGUAUGAAAUAAU